rnacentral:rRNA from 1 species
GAUGAACGCUGACAGAAUGCUUAACACAUGCAAGUCAACUUGAACUUCGGUUUGGGUGGCGGACGGGUGAGUAACGCGUAAAGAACUUGCCUCACAGCUAGGGACAACAUUUGGAAACGAAUGCUAAUACCUGAUAUUAUGAUUUUAGGGCAUCCUAGAAUUAUUGAAAGCUAUAUGCGCUGUGAGAGAGCUUUGCGUCCCAUUAGCUAGUUGGAGAGGUAACGGCUCACCAAGGCGAUGAUGGGUAGCCGGCCUGAGAGGGUGAACGGCCACAAGGUGACUCAGGCACGGCCCUUACUCCUACGGGAGGCAGCAGCGGGGAAUAUUGGACGAUGGACCAAGAGUCUGGUCCAGCAAUUCUGUGUGCACGAUGAAAUUUUUCGGAAUGUAAAGUGCUUUCAGUUGGGAAGAAAAAAAUGACGGUACCAACAGAAGAAGUGACGGCUAAAUACGUG